GGCAACAUGGCCGAGUGGUCUAAGGCGCCAGAAUCAGGUUUUAGUGUUAACCUAUCUGGUCUUCGGGCGUGGGUUCGAAUCCCACUGUUGUCA
rnacentral:tRNA from 1 species